CAGGUGGACUACUCUGGAUCCUGGUUAUAACAGGUGGACUACUCUGGAUCCUGGUUAUAACAGGUGGACUACUCUGGAUCCUGGUUAUAACAGGUGGACAUAGACUACUCUGGAUCCUGGUUAUAACAGGUGGACUACUCUGGAUCCUGGUUAUAACAGGUGGACAUAGACUACUCUGGAUCCUGGUUAUAACAGGUGGACAUAGACGACUCUGGAUCCUGGUUAUAACAGGUGGACAUAGACUACUCUGGAUCCUGGUUAUAACAGGUGGACAUAGACUACUCUGGAUCCUGGUUAUAACAGGUGGACUACUCUGGAUCCUGGUUAUAACAGGUGGACUACUCUGGAUCCUGGUUAUAACAGGUGGACUACUCUGGAUCCUGGUUAUAACAGGUGGACUACUCUGGAUCCUGGUUAUAACAGGUGGACAUAGACUACUCUGGAUCCUGGUUAUAACAGGUGGACUACUCUGGAUCCUGGUUAUAACAGGUGGACAUAGACUACUCUGGAUCCUGGUUAUAACAGGUGGACAUAGACUACUCUGGAUCCUGGUUAUAACAGGUGGACAUAGACGACUCUGGAUCCUGGUUAU